AAAGGGGAGCAUAAAUAGAGACAUUGCAUACUGAGGAUCCAAGAAAACAUCUCCCGUUUAGAUCGCCCCCAAUCUGAUGGAAUGCCCAAGUACUUACCAUAUCUUCGCACCACAGGUCAGAGAAGUUUUGACAUUCAGAUAUAGAAGCUUUAAGGAAAAAGACAGCAUCAUCAGCAAAAAGUAAAUGGGAGAGCUGUGGGCAAGCACGAUUAAAUUGGAUCCCCU